CAGAUCCUCCACUGGCAGCUGAAGCAUUCCAUGAGGCGGCUGGACCAUAGGCCGCGCUUCCACCAUAGCCUGCAGGGCCAUAACCACUUGGAGCCUGAUUACUCCAAAGGUUCCUUUGAGCACCUGGAGGACCGCCUACAUAACCAGCCAUAGGAGCAUUUGGAUUUCCGUAGGCCCCAGCAGGUCCACUGUACCCAGCACCGGCACUUCCAUAGCCACCAACACCAUAACCGGCAUAACCAACUCCGCUGUUUGCGGUUCCAUAGCCAUAACCAGGUGCACCAUAGGCAGAGGAGCUGUAAGCUGGUGCUUGAGGUUGCAUGUACCUAUUGGCAUCCG
rnacentral:lncRNA from 1 species